rnacentral:rRNA from 1 species
GCUAAAAACCUAGCCCCACUUUAACUUAUGAAAUCCCCACCUUAAUCUAAACAAAUAAAACAUUUUCACCAUUUAGUAAAGGCGAUUAAAAAAUGUCUAGGCGCUAUAACAACAGUACCGCAAGGGAAAGAUGAAAUAGAACUGAAAUAAACAUCAAGCACAACAAAGCAGAGCCCCCCCUCGUACCUUUUGCAUCAUGGUUUAGCUAGUCCAACCAAGCAAAAAGAAUUUUAGUUUGUCCCCCCGAAACCAGGUGAGCUACUUCAAAACAGCCUUAUAGGGCCAACCCGUCUCUGUUGCAAAAGAGUGGGAAGAUUUUCAAGUAGAGGUGACAGACCUACCGAACCUGGAGAUAGCUGGUUAUUCAGAAAAAGGAUAUAAGUCCUACCUUAAGCUUCCUCUUAACACCCAAUACCACAUCAAGCUUAAGAGCUAUUCAAAUAAGGUACAGCCUAUUUGAAACAGGAAACAACCUAAAACACAGGGUAAACCUGAAGGCACGCGAUUAAGUGGGCCUAAAAGCAGCCAACUUUUAAAAAGCGUUAAAGCUUCAUCACACAGCCUCAAUAAUUUCAUCUACAACCCCCAACCCUUACUCUAUACUGAAUGACUCUAUAACUUUAUAGACAACAUUAUGCUAAAACUAGUAACAAGAAGAAGACCUUCUCCACAAUGUAAGCAUACGCCGAAAAGAACCUCUCAUCGGCAUUUAACGUCCAUGACUACAAAGUAACAACAACCCAAGAAAAACUUACUUAUAUCAACGUUAACCUUACACAAGUACAUUACAGGAAAGAUUAAAAAAAAAGGAAGGAACUCGGCAAACCUUUAACCCCGCCUGUUUAYCAAAAACAUCGCCUCCUGCAAUAAAUAGGAGGUCCAGCCUGCCCAGUGACCAAGUUAAACGGCCGCGGUACCCUAACCGUGCGAAGGUAGCGCAAUCACUUGUUCUUUAAAUGAGGACUAGUAUGAAUGGCAUCACGAGGGUUAUACUGUCUCCCUUUUUUAAUCAGUGAAACUGAUCUCCCCGUGAAGAAGCGGGGAUCGACAUAUAAGACGAGAAGACCCCAUGGAGCUUUAAACUCAAUAUCAGCUGCUACUAAACAUACCUCAUUAAACAAGCAGAUAUGAAUAUUAGUUUUCGGUUGGGGUGACCGCGGAGCAAAACAAAACCUCCACGAUGAAUGAGUUUUACCUCUAAUCUAAGAACCACAGCUCUAAGAAUCAACAAAUUGACAUUUAUUGAUCCAAAUAUUUUGAUCAACGAACCAAGUUACCCUGGGGAUAACAGCGCAAUCCAUUUCAAGAGCUCCUAUCGACAAAUGGGUUUACGACCUCGAUGUUGGAUCAGGGUAUCCUAGUGGUGCAGCCGCUACUGAAGGUUCGUUUGUUCAACGAUUAAAACCCU